rnacentral:rRNA from 1 species
CGAGCGUUAUCCGGAUUUAUUGGGUUUAAAGGGAGCGUAGAUGGAUGUUUAAGUCAGUUGUGAAAGUUUGCGGCUCAACCGUAAAAUUGCAGUUGAUACUGGAUAUCUUGAGUGCAGUUGAGGCAGGCGGAAUUCGUGGUGUAGCGGUGAAAUGCUUAGAUAUCACGAAGAACUCCGAUUGCGAAGGCAGCCUGCUAAGCUGCAACUGACAUUGAGGCUCGAAAGUGUGGGUAUCAAACAGGAUUAGAUACCCUGGCAGUCCACACGGUAAACGAUGAAUACUCGCUGUUUGCGAUAUACAGCAAGCGGCCAAGCGAAAGCGUUAAGUAUUCACCUGGGGAGUACGCCGGCAACGGUGAAACUCAAAGGAAUUGACGGAGGCCCGCACAAGCGGAGGAACAUGUGGUUUAAUUCGAUGAUACGCGAGGAACCUUACCCGGGCUUAAAUUGCAGAUGAAUUACGGUGAAAGCCGUAAGCCGCAAGGCAUCUGUGAAGGUGCUGCAUGGUUGUCGUCAGCUCGUGCCGUGAGGUGUCGGCUUAAGUGCCAUAACGAGCGCAACCCUUGUUGUCAGUUACUAACAGGUUCUGCUGAGGACUCUGACAAGACUGCCAUCGUAAGAUGUGAGGAAGGUGGGGAUGACGUCAAAUCAGCACGGCCCUUACGUCCGGGGCUACACACGUGUUACAAUGGGGGGUACAGAGGGCCGCUACCACGCGAGUGGAUGCCAAUCCCCAAAACCUCUCUCAGUUCGGACUGGAGUCUGCAACCCGACUCCACGAAGCUGGAUUCGCUAGUAAUCGCGCAUCAGCCACGGCGCGGUGAAUACGUUCCCGGGCCUUGUACACACCGCCCGUCAAGCCAUGGGAGCCGGGGGUACCUGAAGUGCGUAACCGCGAGGAGCGCCCUAGGG